UUGCUACAUUAUUUAUAUUCAUAUUGUCACUCAAUUUCAGCGAUUGCCAGGGACAAAUAAGGAAAAUGUUAUUCACUUUAUCAAACCCAGAGGAAGUGGUGUCUUGGAAGGUUCCCCGUGACAACACAAAUAUAUUAAAUAGAAAAAAAAGAGGCAUUGAAUCAAGCAAAACUGAUGAAAAUUCGAUGAGCUAUACGAAAUGGAUGUUUGAUAGCCUUAUUUAUUAAAAAUAUAUAAAUGAAAUAUUUAUUCCAUUGAACAAUUAUUUAGUUUAGAUAAUAUGAUAAUAAGAC